UUUGGAAUUGCUUAAAGGCUUUUACCUGCUUCUGGACCAUUUGUAAGAGCAGUGUCCUGACACUGAUAAAUAGAUGGAGGAUAAACAAAGACAAAUACUUGGUCCUCUGGGUGGAAUCCAGUUGAUAAAAAAAAUCUACAUUGAAUCCGUGCCUUUUUAAAUGGAGAAACUGCACAAAGUAAAGGAGAACUUGACCAUCAUGCGGCGUUGGGCCCUGAGCUCAUCUGUAACUCGGAGGAUCUGGAGUGUGGCCAGAAAUGCAGCCUCCACUGCCAGCACAACACUCGCCUUGACCUCAAUAUGCUAGCCGCAAGAAGAUAUCAGCAGGGCUUAGGGAAGCAAGUUGCAGCGAUAAUAGCGAGUCUUUAGAUGUCUCACCUGCAGGUGUUCUUCUGGCUAUUCAAUGAGGCAUACAGCCUCAUUGAAUAGCCUCAUUGUGAUUCCCUUUUCUCUUUAUUCUCCAUUUUUCUGUUCCAUGGCUUUACUGUUGUUUUCUUCAUUCUUUAUGUUUACCUCAGUUAUUUCUUUAAUUGGUAGUGACUUUUUUAUUUUUAUUUUCCUCUUAGUCUUGAAUGAACAUAGUUCCCUACAAAUAAAUUACCAGUGUGGAAGAGUGAA